rnacentral:rRNA from 1 species
AUGGCUGCGAAAGCUCGUGCGAGGCCGCGAGACUCUUGGCGGCGAUUCUGGCUGGUGCUGGGCCAUGCCUUGAGCGAGUGCUUCCUCAUCGUAAUGCUGCUUGUGGUCGCCGUGGUGUCGUAUACCGCGACGAGGUUCGCGCGCAUCUGCAGGAUCCGGUCACCGUGCAUGCUGUGCUCAAGAUUGGACAAGGUUCUGCAUGGCAAGGCCUGGUUCUCUGAGGAGCUGAUUUGUGCAGCACACAGGGUGGAAAUCGCGCGUUUAUCUUAUUGCCAGAUUCACAGUAAGCUCGCACAUUCUGAUGAUCUAUGUGGAAAGUGCUUGCUUUCAUGUUCUGGACCAGUUGGUAAGCCAGGUAACCCAACAAACAUGAGCAUUAAGGAGAAGGCGGGGCACACACACCGAUGUUCUUGUUGUUCAGAGCCAUUCACGAAGAGAGACAACGCGCACAAGUUAUUUGAGGAGGUGAAUGGCAGGUCUCAGAAUGAUGGAAUGAGCAAAGUGAAGGAGAGAAGCAUGGCCACGGCAAGCGUUGGGCAUUCUUCGGAUGAGGAUUUUGAUCAAUUGCCUCACGGAGGUUACAGAAAGCUAAAUGCCUGUCAUGACUCUCAAUCAGAGAUUCAUGUCUCAGAUGAUGAUGUUGGCGGCUAUGCAAAGCCUUAUGAAGCUAAACGUCGAACCAGAGAUCUCGACGAGCACUCGAAGGCUGUGCCUCAGCAAAUUCGUCAGGAGCUUCCGAAAGAGAAAACUUUUCUGGUUGGUGUUGAGGAGGUCGGCGAUUUAGAGGGUGUUUCACGAAGCCCUGACCAGGAAGCUGCAGAGGCUUUUGCUGCUUCUGCAUCUAACGAGGCCCGCUCAACUACAAACCAUUAUAUCAACCGCAACAGUAGCAUGAAGAAUGCUCCUGGUGGUAGAGGCAAUCUUAGGUCUCCUCGAUGGUCUGAAGUAAUCUCCGCUAAGGAAACCAAUUCAACAACACAUGAAGAAGUGAAGACAUUCAUGUCCCAGUUGUCUUCUGCGCGAGGCCUCGAUGGUCCUUGGAGUGAGGUGGCUGCUAGCCCCAGAAUCAGCAUACAGAUUGAUGAGUACAGUCAAUCUGAUGCCAUUGAUGGCAGACAGUUCCUUGAUCUGGAACCAUCUGAUGUUCCAACUGAAGCUGAAGGUGAAAUCUCCCCUGAGUCCCUGAAGAAGCAAUGCGAGCUUAACAAGAAAAAACUAAGCAUCCUUUAUAAGGAGCUCGAGGCAGAACGGAGUGCUUCGUCUGUUGCAGCAAGUGAAGCGAUGGCUAUGAUCAAUAGGUUGCAAGUGGAAAAGGCUGCAAUGCACAUGGAGGCGCUGCAGUAUCUCCGGAUGAUGGAAGAGCAGGCUGAUCAUGACCAAGAAGAAAUUGGAAAGCUAAAUGACUUGCUUACAGAAAGGGAGAAAGAAAUGCUUGACCUGGAAGCUGAACUCGAAAGUUAUGAGAGCAAGUUCCGCAUCGAACCAUUUGAUCUCGGGAAUUUUGACGCUGUUGAUGGAGAUAUGGCACUCAGUGUCUUGGAUAGCUCAGAUUUUGUGAGGAAUACCAUCUUUGGUUUUGAAGAUGAGAAGGCCAAAAUUUUGGAAUCCUUGAGCAGAUUAGAGGAAACACUUGGCGUGCCUUACACAAAUAGAUUUGAUUUGGGUGGCGCAAGUGACAUCCUACAGAGUGGGUCACUGAGAGAUCAUCCAAGUGAUGGGCCUGGCCAACAUGUAGAGAACUCAGAAUUGGAAUGUGGGAGUUCACUAUUGCCUCAGGAGCACAUGAACGACGAAUCACACUUGAACGAUGACUCACUGAGAGAUCAUCCAAGUGAUGGACCUGGCCAAGAUCUAGAAAACUCAGAAUUGGAAUGUCAGAGUUCACUAUUGCCUCAGGAACACAUGAACGAUGAAUCACACUUGAAAGAUGACUCAAUGAGAGAUCAUCCAAGUGAUGGGCCUGGCCAACAUGUAGAAAACUCAGAAUUGGAGUGUCGGAGUUCACUAUUGCCUCAGGAAGACUUGAACGAUGAAUCACUAAGAGAUCAGCCAAGUGAUGGGCCUGGCCAAUACGUACAAAACCCAGAACUGGAAUGCCGAAGUUCACUGUUGCCGCAGGAAGACCUGAAAGAUGAAUCCGUCUCAUUACAACGAAAUGAUGAAAAUCAAUCUGUUGAGAACCAAAAAUAUGUUGGCUCAUGUUCGCGCUCAGAUGAUGAUAAAAUUAGUUCCGUGGAAAGCAUUAAACAAGAAAUUUCGCUCUUGAAUAGUAGACUCAUGGCACUUGAAGCAGAUCAGAAGUUUCUCAAGCAGAUAUUGAGUUCUCUUAAAUGUAGUAGUGAUGGAGAACAAUAUGUGCAGGAGAUAACUAGUCAUUUGAGGGAGCUGCGAAGAAUCGUUACCAAGCAGAGAGAUAGGACAGCUCUAUGA